rnacentral:misc_RNA from 1 species
UUUCCGUAGGUGAACCUGCGGAAGGAUCAUUCAUAAUAAGUGUUUAUGGCACUUUUUUAAAUCCAUAUCCACCUUGUGUGCAAUGUCAGGGUUGAUUUUUCUCUCGAGAGGAUCAGCCCCAAACAUCAACUAUAUCUCAACUCUUUGUCUGAAAAAUAUUAUGAAUAAAACAAUUCAAAAUACAACUUUCAACAACGGAUCUCUUGGCUCUC